ACCGACGAGCCGCGAGAUCAUGACCUGAGCCGAAGCCGGACGCUCAACCGACUGAGCCACCCCGGGGCCCCCAGACAGAACCAUUCAAUUCCGCCACCUCUACCUUCAUCGGAGAAUGGGGCCUUCAGACUCGAAGGAGUAAGAUAAACAUUGCUACAGAAGAAACUAAGACCGUGUUCAUGGGGCUGUUUGCCAUCAAGGAGACAGUGGGAAUUCAUAAGGAACACAAGAGGUGCUAAAAGAUCAAAGCUGAUGACCUCACCCCAUACUUCAUAAGAAGACUGAAGUCAAUGGAUGUAUGUAUCUUCAUCUUCCUACCUGGACACCCACUGAUCUACCUGCACUCAGACCCAUCUUGUCUUUGCAGCCUGCAUCUGGUGAACAACACGCCUCUUCCUCUCUGCGCUAGUCCACGGUUGCCAGGGACCUACUGAGCAUUUUAAGAAAUGAAGAUGGGCAAUGCACUGCCCAUGACUGCCCUGUUGCAUUCCCUCUGUGGAAAGAUAGAUGAAUACCAGGCAUCCCAGCAUGGGGGAUAGAUCUGGGAACCACUAGGACCCCAGGAUCUUUGUCAUAAGUCUUCCUUCCCCCCUCUCUAGAAGGUUGGGAAUAUUACCUUCAGCUGUGGGGAGAAGGAGAAGAGAAAUGUCUCGCCAGUACCGUAGAAGCCUUUGCUGAGUCGAAUAGCCGAGGAGGAGAAGGCCCCAAACAUCUGGAAAGCAGAAGAACUUGAAGUUGCAGCUGGAAGGGAGUGGAGGUCCUCUGGCAACUCCACUCUCCAGGCGUAGUAACAUAGCCUCAUCCUAGUAGGGCCCCUGGGAAGCCUGGGACAGAGUCGGGGGGAUCGGGAGGGCCCCAGGCCCAUCAAUGUGUGUCCUUUCCCUUAACACUCCCCAAGGAAGAGCCCUGGCUGGUGUCCUCCUACUUUUCCUUAAAUGUACUUAUUUUGUAUAAGUAAUUCUUGUAGAAAAUUAUUAGAAGUUACAGACAAGCAGAAAGAAAAGAUAAAGCCAUCCCCAAUCCCCCUCUGCUCCCCAAGAUAACGAUUGACAUUUUUGUGCCUUUCCUCCCAGUGUCUGUUUAAUGCCAGUGUACGUAUUCUUAUAUAGAAAACCAGAUCCUAUAGUACAUCUGGCUUUCUUUUUUUAAGUUUUGUUUAUUUAGGUAAUUUCUACACCCAAAGUGUAGGGCUUGAACUCACGACCCUGAGAUCAAGAGUCAGAUGUUCUUUCAAAUGAGCCAACCAGGAGCCCUGUACUGGUUUGUAAGCUGCUUCCCCCCUUCACUUGUCUUUCUAAAGUUCAAAAUCCUAAGAAGUAAAAGCCAGACACAGAUAUCUGAGGAUAUAGAACUGUAAAAUGUGUUUGCCAUAUUUGCUUUCUCUCUCCUUUUAUUUUUUGGUGUCCUCUUGAAUUUGCAGGUAUUAUAAUGUUUUACCCCUAAAUAGUUCAGCUCCAAGAAUGGGGACUUUCUCGUGUAUAACCACAAUGCUAUCAUUUCACCUAAGAAAAUUAAGAGCAAUUUCAUAAUAUUAUCUAGUAUCCAGUUCAUAAUACACUUUUUCCACUGGUCCAAGAGUACCUUUCAUAGCCUACUUUAAAAAAAAAAAAAAAA